UUUAGAGUUUGAUCCUGGCUCCGGACGAACGCUGGCGGCGUGCUUAACACAUGCAAGUCGAGCGAAGUGCUUUAGACUGAUCCCUUCGGGGUGACGUCUUUAGUAUUUUAGCGGCGGACGGGUGAGUAACGCGUGAGAAACCUGCCUUUCACAAAGGAAUAGCCUCGGGAAACUGGGAUUAAUACCUUAUGAUACCUUAACUCCACAUGGAGCCUAGGUUAAAGCGUAAAGCGGUGAAAGAUGGUCUCGCGUCCCAUUAGUUAGUUGGUGAGGUAAAGGCUCACCAAGACCAUGAUGGGUAACCGGCCUGAGAGGGUGAACGGUCACACUGGAACUGAGACACGGUCCAGACUCCUACGGGAGGCAGCUGUGGGGAAUAUUGCACAAUGGAGGAAACUCUGAUGCAGCGACGUCGCGUGAACGAUGAAGGUUUUCGGAUCGUAAAGUUCUGUCCUUGGGGACGAUAAUGACGGUACCCAAGGAGGAAGCCCCGGCUAACUACGUGCCAGCAGCCGCGGUAAUACGUAGGGGGCAAGCGUUGUCCGGAAUUAUUGGGCGUAAAGGGUUCGCAGGUGGCCUUUUAAGUCAGAUGUGAAAGAUCAAGGCUUAACCUUGGUAAGCAUUUGAAACUGAAAGGCUUGAGUUAAGGAGAGGAAAGUGGAAUUCCUAGUGUAGCGGUGAAAUGCGUAGAUAUUAGGAGGAAUACCAGUGGCGAAGGCGACUUUCUGGACUUAUACUGACACUGAGGAACGAAAGCAUGGGGAGCAAACAGGAUUAGAUACCCUGGUAGUCCAUGCCGUAAACGAUGAGUGCUAGGUGUCGGGGGUCAAACCUCGGUGCCGGAGCUAACGCAU
rnacentral:rRNA from 1 species